rnacentral:lncRNA from 1 species
AAUAACUCUGGAUGGAGUGAAGGACUGACCUUAUCAAUUGAAGUCUGCCAGCAAAAGAGAGAAACCGCUGGGCCCAAGAAUGGACCCUGGCCAUGAUGCAAUCAACAAGCAAAAUACAGUUCGACUUGGCAAGCCUAGAAGUGAUGAUCGGAACCCCUAGAUACCUCAUCGAUAGUUUACCUUCCUGGAAACCAAGGGCCAAGAGGAU